rnacentral:misc_RNA from 1 species
UUAAGUUCAGCGGGUAUUCCUACCUGAUCCGAGGUCAACCUUUAAAAAUAGGGGGUUUAACGGCAAGACGUCAGUACCGGCACCUAAAGCGAGAAAAAAUUACUACGCUUGGGGUCAGCACGACUCCGCCACUCUAUUUGAGGAGCUAUCCAGAGAUAGGCUCCCAAAACUAAGCAACUGAGGCUUAAGGGUCGAAAUGA